CCCGCCGGACCCCGGGACUACGGAAGCCAUCCCGUCCGGCCACCCACACCCGCGCCGCGGCUGGGGCUUGGGUUGGGGACUGUGGCGGCGAAGAAGCCGGGGGAGGGAGUUCUCACAAGAUCUGAUGGUUUAAGCGUGGCAGUUUCCCCUGAGCUCUCCUUCCUGCUGGUAUGUAAGGCGUGCUUUGCUUCCUCUUCACCUUCCGCCAUGAUUGUACAUUUCCUGAGGCCUCCCCAGCCAUGCAGAACUGCAUACAACUUAGGAUUCAUAACUACAUAUAUACGGAUAGAAGUGCAUGAACAGAAAAUCUGCCCUUCUGGAAUACCAAAUGCAAAAUUAAAGUGACUACAAGCAGAAUUUGGAGAAAAAAAUAAAAGAUGCAAUAUAGUUUUUAAAAUCAUUGUUAAAAUAUAAUGAGUCUGUACUUUGCUUAAACAAUAAAAAAGUCUUCGAUUUA
rnacentral:lncRNA from 1 species